rnacentral:rRNA from 1 species
GACGAACGCUGGCGGCGUGCCUAAUACAUGCAAGUUGAGCGAUGAAGAUUGGUGCUUGCACCAAUUUGAAGAGCAGCGAACGGGUGAGUAACGCGUGGGGAAUCUGCCUUUGAGCGGGGGACAACAUUUGGAAACGAAUGCUAAUACCGCAUAACAACUUUAAACAUAAGUUUUAAGUUUGAAAGAUGCAAUUGCAUCACUCAAAGAUGAUCCCGCGUUGUAUUAGCUAGUUGGUGAGGUAAAGGCUCACCAAGGCGAUGAUACAUAGCCGACCUGAGAGGGUGAUCGGCCACAUUGGGACUGAGACACGGCCCAAACUCCUACGGGAGGCAGCAGUAGGGAAUCUUCGGCAAUGGACGAAAGUCUGACCGAGCAACGCCGCGUGAGUGAAGAAGGUUUUCGGAUCGUAAAACUCUGUAGGUAGAGAAGAACGUUGGUGAGAGUGGAAAGCUCAUCAAGUGACGGUAACUACCCAGAAAGGGACGGCUAACUACGUG